rnacentral:rRNA from 1 species
GAUUACGGGGGCGCAGCAGGCGCGAAAACGUNUACAAUGCGGGCAACCGUGAUAAGGGAACCUCGAGUGCCUGUAAAUGCAGGCUGUUCAGGUGCCUAAACACACCUGAAGAAAGGGCCGGGCAAGACCGGUGCCAGCCGCCGCGGUAAUACCGGCGGCUCGAGUGGUGGCCGCUUUUAUUGGGCUUAAAGCGUUCGUAGCUGGGUUGUUAAGUCUCUUGGGAAAUCUGCGGCUUAACCGUCAGGCGUCUAAGGGAUACUGGCAAUCUUGGAACCGGGAGAGGUGAGGGGUACUUCGGGGGUAGGAGUGAAAUCCUGUAAUCCUCGAGGGACCACCUGUGGCGAAGGCGCCUCACCAGAACGGCUUCGACAGUGAGGGACGAAAGCUGGGGGAGCAAACCGGAUUAGAUACCCGGGUAGUCCCAGCCGUAAACUAUGCGCGUUAGGUGUAUCGGUGACCACGAGUUACCGAGUGCCGAAGGGAAACCGUGAAACGUGCCGCCUGGGAAGUACGGUCGCAAGGCUGAAACUUAAAGGGAAUUGGCGGGGGAGCACCACAACAGGUGGAGCCUGCGGUUUAAUUGGACUCAACGCCGGGAAGCUCACCGGAUAAGACAGCAGAAUGAUUGCCGGGCUGAAGACUCUGCAUGACUAGCUGAGAGGAGGUGCAUGGCCGUCGUCAGUUCGUACUGUGAAGCAUCCUGUUAAGUCAGGCAACGAGCAAGACCCACGCCAACAGUUGCCAGCAUGGUCUCCGGACUGAUGGGGACACUGUUGGGACCGCCUCUGCUAAAGAGGAGGAAGGAAUGGGCAACGGUAGGUCAGCAUGCCCCGAAUUAUCCGGGCUACACGCGGGCUACAAUGGGCAGGACAAAUGGGCAUCGACACCGAAAGGUGAAGGCAAUCUCCUAAACCUGUCCUUAGUUCGGAUUGUGGGCUGCAACUCGCCCACAUGAAAGCUGGAAUCUGUAGUAAUCCGCGUUUCAAAAUAACGCGGUGAAUUUGUCCCUGCUCCUUGCACACAACCGCCGUCAAACCACCCGGAGUGGGGUUUCGGAUGAGGUUGCGGUUGUUGCCGCCAGUCGCAAUCUAGGUUCCGCCAAGGGGGUUAAGUCGUACAGGUACCGUAAUCCGAUUCCCGCGGC